AUAAUACAACUGGAUUCCUCACUGUCCUCACUGCUUCACGCUCAAAAUCCAGCCUUUCUCCAAAAUUGAAUCCAUAUAUCUAUUUCCUUCACGCCUCUUUUCAUUUUGUUCUUAGGAUCUACUUUCCGGCUUGAGCUUUGCAAGAAAGGGUGAAUUUUUUGUUUUUUGAAAGUUUGCAAAGAUCCCUUACUCUGAGAGAUUAAACGUCGCCAUCGUUAAGCUCGAAGAAGUACGAUGAUAUUAUAGACGCAGCCAAAAAGCGGUUGGGUUGAGUCUCUGAAAUCAGAAGGGACAAAGACACUCAUAGUAAAAUGAAGGCUUAGUGGAGUCGAGUGUAAGAAAACGGGAAAAAAGCAGCUUUGCCCGGCGCUUCCAACAGGACAGGAACAUAUAUACAAGGAAAGAAUUUCAUAAGGUCGGCGGGCCGUUAGAAAAAU